AUGAACGCUGGCGGCGUGCCUAAUACAUGCAAGUCGAGCGGACAGAUGAGGAGCUUGCUCCUCUGACGUUAGCGGCGGACGGGUGAGUAACACGUGGAUAACCUACCUAUAAGACUGGGAUAACUUCGGGAAACCGGAGCUAAUACCGGAUAAUAUAUUGAACCGCAUGGUUCAAUAGUGAAAGACGGUUUUGCUGUCACUUAUAGAUGGAUCCGCGCCGCAUUAGCUAGUUGGUAAGGUAACGGCUUACCAAGGCAACGAUGCGUAGCCGACCUGAGAGGGUGAUCGGCCACACUGGAACUGAGACACGGUCCAGACUCCUACGGGAGGCAGCAGUAGGGAAUCUUCCGCAAUGGGCGAAAGCCUGACGGAGCAACGCCGCGUGAGUGAUGAAGGUCUUCGGAUCGUAAAACUCUGUUAUUAGGGAAGAACAAAUGUGUAAGUAACUAUGCACGUCUUGACGGUACCUAAUCAGAAAGCCACGGCUAACUACGUG
rnacentral:rRNA from 1 species